UGCUUCAGGGGGUAAGCUGGA
rnacentral:piRNA from 1 species